rnacentral:rRNA from 6 species
UAACGACUCUCGGCAACGGAUAUCUCGGCUCUCGCAUCGAUGAAGAACGUAGCGAAAUGCGAUACUUGGUGUGAAUUGCAGAAUCCCGCGAAUCAUCGAGUCUUUGAACGCAAGUUGCGCCCGAAGCCAUUCGGCCGAGGGCACGUCUGCCUGGGUGUCACG